rnacentral:lncRNA from 1 species
UUUUUUUUUUUUUUUUUUUCCCCCCUCACUUGUUAUAGGAUCCACGAUGAAAUUAUUGUACUAUCUCAUCAUUUACCUGGCGGUGAUGGAUGGUAUUCGGAGUGUCCCCAGGACGCCUCGUGGGACUCGCAAAAACCGCAGUAAGUCGCUUAGCCCCCUGGGGUUGCGGAAAGGGCUUUCGGGGAUGUUUCAGUCUCGGAGUCCCGUGCAGCGGCGUAACAACGGCGAUGGAGCAGGCCCCUCGGCCUCAUCUAACUUUCUUCGCCAGCGAUCGAACACAAUCCCGGAUCUACAGAUCUUGUCCUCCACGUCCAUCCGGCGAGCAUCCGCGUCGAGACCCUUCCCGUACAUCGAGGGCAAGAUCGGGCAGAGCGAAGAUCCUCGCUUUCUCAGAAUAAUCGAAAUUUUCAAGGGGCUUCACUACGAACCUGGACUAUUAGACAUGACGUCGAGAGAGUUUAAAACACUGAAGAGAAAUCUGCUCGACUUAGCUGCUCGAAAUGAUGGAAAAUGCAACGAAGGGGACAAGGAAUCCAGGAGGAAAGCCGGGAAUCAAUGCGCACUUGCGGUCAAGGAAUUUCAGAAAAUCAGUCGGAGUUGGCGCGGUCCGUGUGAACACGUAUUCCUAGGCUGGUGUCAAAAUUGGGGCACGGCCGGAUGGAAAUGCUCAUUCUUCUUCAAAACUAGUCCAUCGUACAACCUUCCAAUGCCCGGAUACUCGUACAAAAUGCAUGACUGUAUCAAUGCUUUAUCUCCAGAGCAAAUGGAAAGUGUAGAGAAUGCACUAAGUGACGGAUUUUUUGCGGGUCCAUCAUAAGACUUGAAUGAGAGUUGUUAGUUCUCUAGGUCCUCCCUCCUUUAUAGUCAAGUUGCAUGGUUUCUAAAGGAAAAGCUGCGCGAUGAAAGUAGAAUUUGGCAUAUUCAUACCGGUGGGAACUAUGUGCUAAUGAAAGUGAUCAAAAGUAACCACGCAGCAUGUUAACUUUAUGUACUAACAAGUAGGUAAUAGCAAAAACAUACUCGAAAUUGCUUUUAAAUAUCUCUAAGAUUAGUAAAAUAUAUAGAUGUUUUUAUUAAACGGGAAAUAAAUCGCCACCUUCCAGGCAAAGUAUCACAAGCGCCAUGCGACGUUUAAAAAUUUCCGCCGCCAUUUGAUUUUUUUACUGAGAAAUUUUUGAUUGAAUCUGUUUGAAAAUUUCACUAAAUUUUAUCGGCAGCACAAAGAAAAUUCGGUGAAAUUUUCGGACAGCUUCGUUCAACAAUUUCUCUGUAAAAAAAUAUAAUGGCGGCGGAAAUUUUUAAACGUCGCAUGGCGCUUGUGAUACUUUGCCUGGAAGGUGACGAAAUAUAAAUAUUAUAAUGAAUGAGGAGAUAAAUUACAGAGACAUUGGUAAGUUUUCAAGACGGUUUAAGUUAAUUAUUUAAUCACUAUAUAAGUUAGGUUAGUAAAAGAUAUUCUAAGUUUGUAAGUCAUUUUUUAAUUAGUUUGAAAAAAAUGUGCAAAGGUCUUGUGAAGCCCUGUUUGGUAUGUAAGUAAAAAUAAUUAAUAAAUAUUUCAUUCCAAUUUAUGAUUGUUGUUCAAUAUGGGUCGUUUAAAAGCUGUUUUCUUAAAUUCCUGUAUUUUCUAUCCUGAAAAUAAAAAAAAAAUUAACAUCUAAAAUUUGUUUCCAAACUUAAAAAUGCUCAAGUUGUUCUCUAAAAUAUUUUUAAUUUAAUCUUACUAAUUGUUUCCUUACAAACCGAAGUGAAAAGUUUUUAAAACAAAUUAUGGUUUUCGAUGUUCUAUUGUAGAUACAGUUUUAAACUAAGUAUUUACCCACAGCUCCUUUCAGCAUAAAUAACAUCCAAUUAUUUAUUGAAUCUUGUCGAUUUAUAGAAUUGCAAUUCUCAAUGAACAUUUAUUUAAUUAACCAUUUUAAUCAUUACAUAUUCCCGCACCUAAAAUAGGGAGGAUGAGCAUCAACAUCACUCCAAAAUAAGAUAAAAAACAACACGCAUAGGUAUGCUCGAAAAAGCGAGACCAAAGUAUAUUUUCCCGUCUGUAUGGUUAAUGUCAUUUGCUCACACCUCGUUUAUAAGUUUUUCCCAAAACAGCAAAAAAAAUUCAACCUCUUUUUUUUCUUAUAACUUUAGUUCGAGGAUAAAAGGUCAUGGAUAAAGGUCUGGUCUACGAAACCCUGUUUGUUCGAUAAAAAAAUGGAAACUGCGCUCUAACUUCCAUUAACCCUGUUGUGUAUCCCAGGAUUCUAAAGGGCAUGUGGACGAUGAACUGCAGACACACACGUAAUAAGCACAUGCCUACCACGGUUUGCGACAUUACAGACUUCGUCACUUUCCGAUCAAAGUAUCACGAGCACCAUGCGACGUUUCCGUUGAAUCUGCUUGAAAAUUUUACUGAAUUUUAACAGCAGCACAAGAAAAUUCAAUGAAACUUUCGGACAGCUCUGUUGAACAAUUUAUCUGUAAAAAAUUAAAAUGGCGGCGGAAAUUUUGAGAUGCCGCAUUCGCAUGUCGCUUGUGAUGCUUUGGCCGAAAGGUGACGACUUCCUGCCAUACUUUAUUUUUAAUUGAAAACUACUCAACGUCAUUUUUUGAUCACUUUGGAGACUUCCCGCCUUUGUGCGAAGAAUAUUUGAGAACAUUUGAAGCUAUGCAAAGCUUCCUUUUGAAUAAUAAAGUAGGAACGGAGAUUUUGAAACACCGUAAUCGAGAUACACGCGUUUUUUUUUUAGUUUCACCGUCAAUGUGUUGCGUACCAGAACAACAUCAUGCUCUCAAUAUUUAUUUUAUUUUGUACACCUUACUUAAAACUUCGUGAAUACCGUUGUUUAUCUUCUUCAAUGGCUACAAGUUGGAAACCAUGAUAUUUAUUAUAAUGGAGAGGACCUUUGAAAUUAAAUAAGUCCAUACUCUUUUUCAAUGUCUCUCUCAUGUCUCAAUGGUAAAGGAGGAGGGGGGAUGCUUGACAAAAGAAUAAUUGGAAGACCUAAUCUACAUUAGAAAUAAUGUAUUUUACUUCACACGAUUUCUCUAACGUAAUAAUUUUCAUCGUCAGUGUUGGCGAAAAUAGUUUCAAUUCUGUCCAAAAAUUUGAAAACAGCAACACACACUGUCGUUCACAAAAAUUGUGUCCAAACCACUAAAAUCUUGACGAUGCAAGGUUCCUCUCUCCUCUGAACCCUACAGAAGUUUUGUUUAAAGCCUGAAAAAGACUAUUAUCAUCUUAUUUUAAACGCAGUUGCCGUUGGGCAUUUCGGGCCUAAAGUUGAGUUCGGGUCGGCUACGCAACGAAAUUGCUUGUGUAGCAGAGCGUUGGGUAUCCUUCAAUAUGUAGGCGUUCCAAAAUGACAACAAUGCUAUUUAAUUAUGAAGACAGAAUAUUUACUUAUGUGUGUGUGCAUAAGACGACAGAUCGAGGCAAUGGUUCAGUUGCGCUGGUCAUAGAAUCGUAUUUUGAUGUUUGAUUAUUAUGGAGCAGCUAAAAGUAAGAAGAUCUGUCCUAUAACAAUAACUCUUUACGUUCAAUAUUGACCCAGAUAUCCCGCUUUGAAAAAUUCCCCCAAAGACGUCAUCCACCGCGCGGUAGUGACACCCCUGGUUUCUUCCCCCUUGCUUUCAUUAUUGUCAGGGAGACGCACAUUUUCACUGGUUACGCAACGUGAAACUCGGAUGAAAGCAAGGUGGAAGGAACGAAGGGUGUCACUAUCGCGGUUGAUGACGUGAUAAAUCUAAUUUUUCAACGCACAAUAACUCGGUUAGUAUUGAACGUAGAAAGUUGUUGUUCGGACAAGAGAUCUUACUAUUUUUAGUUGAUCUACAAGAAUCAAGCUUCAAAACUAGAUUCUAUGACUAGCGCAAGCCUAAUGCACACCUAAUUUUCUUGAUUAAAAUUAAAUAUUUGUGCCUGGAGCACUUUCCAAUGUUUUUGCUAUCUCAGAUUCAUUUCGAGGUUAAAAAAUGAGGGGCUCAGAGGACAAGUCACAUUAGCGCAGUUUCCGCUAUUUCGAGAAAUAUUUGUUUGGAGUUUCGAAAUUACAUGAAUCCAUACGGCGGAAAGUUCAAACUGACUUUUUGAUGUUUAAAAAUUGGAAUUUGGGAGCGAAUUUUUUCACGGAAUAGCAUUAAGACCUGAAAAAAUUAAUAUAAAACCUCAAUUUUUUCAAAAACCGCACUUAUUAUACGCCUUGUCCUCCAAGCCCCUCAAAUAUGGGAUGACAAAAAAUUGGAAAGCACGCCAGGUACAAAUAUUUAAUUUCAAUCAAAUAUCAAAGAGUGCAAAAUGGAAAUAGGAAGGUAUCAAAUUUUCCUGUAUUUCAGCUUACAUCUUCUUGAUGUUGCCUUGAAACCUCACUCGUGUCCCAACGGUAAUAGAUGGGCCCGGAGAGGUUCCGUCAAUGAUUGCUACGUCAUCCCCCUCCCUCUCCGUCUAUAUCACCCUCCCAUCUUUCCUUUCUACGAUCUACUCAAUAACGAGCCUAGAGUUACUCCAUAGGAUGAGUUUCGUUGUAUCGUUUCAAGUUGAAGCUAUUUAUACAGUAUCGGAGAGGGAUGGGGUAGCCGACCUCAUUGUACGGCGAUAUUUUGCUCCUCAUGAAGCAAAGGCACCGGUCCCCUUGGCAGCGACCCUGGUUGUACUUGACUCCGACGGUGCAGCAGAUGAGGGAGUGGGACUUCGGGUAAAGGAAGUUGAUGGCUUGCUGGAAGCGGCAGUAGAUGGCGCACAGACUGUUGUUCGAGUCCCAGAUGAAGUUCCCGCGGGCUUUAGAGCCUUCGCCGAUGUCAUCGGUCGGACCCAGGAGACAAGGGUCUAUCAUCCUCCCCGCCAGCACUGGGAUCAUCUUUCGCAACCGGGACUCCAUCCAUGGGUUCCAUAGCCACAUUCUGUGCAUCUGCAACCGAAACAAGCGGGAAGCGCACGUAACGUGUGUAUUGGGGAAGCGCUCAGUGGCCAGUGAACUUUGAAAAUUUAAAACCUGGUAAGCGCCAUCAGGUCUUGAAAAGAGUGUGCCUCUUCACUGCAAUGGAGCCUAGAUAUCUUCGCUUCGAUGAAUUUGUAGGAGGAAAUUUUGGUCUUAUUUUUAUAACUGCUUUGGGAGGAUAGGGGACUUUGGCGGCUGGGGGUCGCAGAGCGCCAAAGAGCGCUAUAAAAGCGACUAUAUACAUACAUACAUUUUUAUAACGGGAAUAAUGGUCAUUCUCAGGCCCUCUGGAUUUCUGUUAAAGAGAAACAGCACUGUUAAAAAUUAAUGAUUUACUCUGAGUGAAUAGCCGG